GCCCGCCAUUGGCCAUUGUGUCCAAGCGCGGCGUCACAUAGUGGCUGAUGCCGUCCAAGGCGCCGGGUAGAAACAGGAAGCGCACCAGACACACCAGCAAAAGGGCCAAAGUUGACAGGAUCAAAUAGCGCAACAGUUUGCCAAACUGAAGCAUCGAAAGGCCAAUAUGAAUGUAAUGAUUGCCCAGAUGACGCCAGAGAAGCCGACAAUUUGCCAGGACAACUCGUAGCUAGCAUCUUCUCCCAUGUAAUAAUCACUGCUUAAUGUCUCAUAGUGCUGCCUACAGGAAUACAGUUAGAAUAGCGCUAAUUAGUGAUAAUUUCGUAAUAUUAAGGUGCAACUUACCUGAAAUAAAGCACGGAGGGCACGUGCACCACACUCAAUUCAGAAAA